rnacentral:rRNA from 1 species
CACGAACGCUGGCGGCAGGCUUAACACAUGCAAGUCGAGCGCCCCGCAAGGGGAGCGGCAGACGGGUGAGUAACGCGUGGGAAUCUACCCAUCUCUACGGAAUAACGCAUGGAAACGUGUGCUAAUACCGUAUACGUCCUUCGGGAGAAAGAUUUAUCGGAGAUGGAUGAGCCCGCGUUGGAUUAGCUAGUUGGUGGGGUAAAGGCCUACCAAGGCGACGAUCCAUAGCUGGUCUGAGAGGAUGAUCAGCCACACUGGGACUGAGACACGGCCCAGACUCCUACGGGAGGCAGCAGUGGGGAAUAUUGGACAAUGGGCGCAAGCCUGAUCCAGCCAUGCCGCGUGAGUGAUGAAGGCCCUAGGGUUGUAAAGCUCUUUCACCGGUGAAGAUAAUGACGGUAACCGGAGAAGAAGCCCCGGCUAACUUCGUGCCAGCAGCCGCAGUAACAC